GGUAAUGCCAGACGCCCAUGGAUGCCUCUGAGGAGCCGCUGCCGCCGGUGAUCUACACCAUGGAGAACAAGCCCAUCGUCACCUGUGCUGGAGAUCAGAAUUUAUUUACCUCUGUUUAUCCAACGCUCUCUCAGCAGCUUCCAAAAGAACUAAUGGAAUGGAGAAGGACCUAUGGCCGGGCUCCCAAGAUGAUUCACCUAGAGUCUAACUUUGUUCAGUUCAAAGAGGAGCUGCUGCCCAAAGAAGGAAACAAAGCUCUGCUCACAUUUCCUUUCCUCCAUAUUUACUGGACAGAGUGCUGUGAUACUCAAGUGUAUAAAGCUACAGUAAAAGAUGACCUCACCAAGUAGCAGAAUGUUCUGAAGGCUCACAGCUCUGUGGACUGGUUAAUAGUGAUAGUUGAAAAUGAUGCCAAGAAAUAAAAUCAAAUCCACAUCCUUCCCCAAACCUCUAUUGUGGACAAAAUAAGAAAUGACUUUUGUAAUAAACAGAGUGACAGGUGUGUUGUGCUCUCCGACCCCAUGAAGGACUCUUCUCGAACUCAGGAAUCCUGGAAUGCCAUCCUGACCAAACUCAGGACACUGCUUCUUAUGUCUUUUACCAAGAACCUAGGCAAGUUUGAGGAUGACAUGAGAACCUUGAGGGAGAAGAGGACUGAGCCAGGCUGGAGCUUUUGUGAGUAUUUCAUGGUUCAGGAGGAGCUUGCCUUUGUUUUCGAGAUGCUGCAGCAGUUCAAGGACACCCUGGUGCAAUACAACGAGCUGGACGCCCUCUUCUCUCAGUAUGUUGUCAACUCUGGGGCCAGGGACGGUGCCAACUGGCUGACUUUUUUCUGCCAGCCAGUGAAGAGCUGGAAUGGAUUGAUCCUCUGAAAGUCGAUAGAUAUGGAGAAGCGGGAAUCGAUCCAGAGGUAAGAAGCCACCCUGUUAGAUCUGCGCAGUUACCUGUUCUCUCGCCAGUGCACCCUGUUGCUCUUCCUGCAGAGGCCGUAGCGGGGUGGCCCAGUGCGCCCUAGAGCUGCUGCACAACUGUGUGCAGGAACUGAAGCUCUUAGAAGUCUCUGUCCCACCUGGUGCUCUGGACUGCUCGGUGUUUCUGAGCUAUCUGGAGGUGUUGCAGAGGCUAGAAGGCUGCUGUGACUGGGCACAGAUCGACUCAAACAUUGCCCACGCAGUGGAGCUGUAGAGCUAUGCCACAGAAAAGUUAAAGUCCUUGGACUAUCUGUGUGGACUUGUGUCAGAGAAAGGACCGAACUCAGAAGAUCUCAACAGGACGGUGGACCUUUUGGCAGGUUUGGGAGCUGAGCGGCAGGUAGGAGGAGGGAAGGAUCAGAACUCCUUCUGUGCCUUGGGAUACUGGAGCUGGGGGACAGGGAGGCCCAUCAGCUGGAGCCACAUGAAACAGACUGAGGAAAGCUGAGACCCAGCUGUGAGGAGGGCCUCACUGGUGAGGCUUAUUAGGGAUAAAUGUUUCUGGAACCCUGUGGUCCCCCAUGAUGUUGAUGGAAUAUCACAUGCACUGGGAAUUAAAUAUGUAUUUAAUUUAAUUAUCAUUAUAUAUGUGGGGUUAAUAUGUGGGUUUUUUGUUCCCUUUAAAGUCUUUACAUGUAAUUAUAGAUGUAUAAACAUUAUUUUUCUUCUGUACCUUAAGUCUUAGAAAUUAAGAUAUUCCAUUGUAAGUGAGGAUGAGAGAGGUCCUCAGUGUAUUUUUAGUCUGGUUGUGGGGAAGGACUCAGUUCCUGGAAUGUCCUCUGCUGGUCUCCUGAGUUGCAGUCACACUGUUCCAAUGGAUUAUUUACUUUUGGUUGUAAAUUUAAUUGUACAUAUGGUUGAUUUAUUAUUUUUAAAAGUACAGACUACCUGAUGUAAUGUUUAUAAGUUGCACCAAAAAUCAAGGAUAAAAAUAAGUGUGUUUGUUUUUACAGGUGUGAAAGUCACAACUUGUAAAUAAUUGUUGUAUGUAUUAAACCUUUUCCAGCUCUCCAAAG